UUGCUUGUUGAGCCUUUAGAUU
rnacentral:snRNA from 1 species